CGUAGCGUCUAGCUGUCUAGACGUAACCACGUUGAAAGUGAUUCGCCUCUUCUGUACUAACUGCAAUAUUUAGGCCUUCGACGCGCAAGACUCACCGAAAUUUCCUGACGGGAGCUGUUGACUGUUUGGUAAAAAGCAGCAGCAGCUACGACCAUAAGUCACCACCAGUCAACCUACCAGUGCGUAGCCGACAUUGAGCAAUCAUCAGGCAAGUGCUUCUAAACAAUCCGAAGACAAAGGUCGCAGUGCGGCGUGCCAGAGUAUAGACAGUUCUCGCUAAAUCCACAACUCCCAGUCUGGUUUCCCUUUUCUUUUUUGUUUUACUAUGUAAGUAACGCAUCCUAUUCGAUACUCCCUGUUCGCUUAGAAUAACUUAAAGUGCAAGAUAAAUAGUAUAGCAGAACUGGCCCUUGGUCACGUUUGGGUCUGAAUGAAACAAGACACAGCUCGAAUUGUUUCCUCAAAAUUAUGAAACUGUCAGAGAGUCAGUUUUACUCUCUUUCGCGGAGGGGGUCUGGAAGAGGUCGUGGCCUUUUCUAAGUCUCCACCUGUUCCCUGGUUGGGUCGAAACCGGAAAGCAUUUCUCUUGGUCGUGCGCAGCAUUCUCAGCACACACAUCUAGAAUGGCUGGAACAAUUUUCUUGAAAUACGUUACAGUUUUAAACAGCAAUGGGUAUUGAAGCUGGCAAUCGGAGAACCAGUAAUGAUGUAAGCGUAGCAAAAUCAUGUCCAUUCAGUUCUUUCUUUCAUCGCCUUACCUUUUACUAGUCACAACCUUUGUUCACAUAAAACUCGGAGUGCCUGGCUAGGCAGAAGGCGCGGAAGGAAAGAGAGAAGCAAUUAAGCAAAAAAGAAUGGCACGGCGAUUUCAACAAAUUAAAUCAUUUUGAUAAAUUUAAUGGAAAUAAGCCAAUUAAAUAAGUUGUAAAAAAAAAGUUAAAUGUGCAACGGCGUACAACUGUCUGCAAUAUGCAUAUACCCAGAAAACCAAUGGCGUGAGCACACAUUCUAAUGCAAAACGUGAAUCUUUUGUACAAAACGCGUAAAAAUAUAAAAAGUUACAGAAAACCAAAAACAAAAACAAAGAUCGUAAAUUACGGUCUUCUUCACCUAUAUUUUAUGAGCUCUCUAGUUUCUUUAUUCUCUAAAGCGGCAGCCAAACCUGUAAAAAGAAAAGGGUUGGCAUUGGCAAUGAGAAAAAUGAUUUAAAACGACUUGAGGUAUUCAUCAUCCGAUCCCCAUUUUUAAGUCGUCUGCAAAACCAGUCGCUUUUUACUUGACGUGUCCUUUGCUUGAGUUAGAUUUAUUCAUUGGUCGGAUAAAGUCAGAAACUAAAAAAAAAAGAAAAAUUCAUCGUAUGUUUUUUGUUGAAAUCCAUAACCGUAGUCGCCAUGUCACUCUGCUUUGGCAACUUCACGUCUCACCUUGUUCUUCACUUGUUUUCGGUCAAUCCAUCACGCACGAGCAAGUACAAUCUGUAACAGAUCAUAGCCUUUGGGUUUGAAAUGAACUAUUUGUAUACACGAGACGUAUGCAAAACGUCAACCGAAAAAAAAAAAAUAAUAAUCGUGAAGGACAGCAUAUGAACUGCAUGAUAACUGCGUGAGAUCUGUCUUUUUCUUGCAUCACCAACUUUUGCCUCGGCUUUGCUUCGUCAAGAAAUCAGUCGAAUAAAAGGUGUGUCGUCUACUAUUUCUCACCAGUAGUUGUUUCUUUACCACCCAGAUGGUCGGCAACAGGAACAGAUUUGAAGAGGGGGUUAGAGAAAAUAAAACUUGAGCAGCCAUUGACAGCUACAGACUUGCAUGGCUGCGUGUGUGUUCUAUCUCUAGUGGACUUGUUUUCUUCCUUCGUUUUCUAUUACUAAAAACUAGCGAGACAGAAACCAAAAGAGAGAGAGAGAGAGAUAGAAAGAUAGAUAGUAAAAAAUAAAAAAAAUAAAAUAAAUAAGGAAUCGAUUUGUUAACUGCCAGGAUCACAGCUGUAUAAUAUACACACAGCAUCGGUCUCCUCUCCACGCUCCUUCGCUUGACAGACUUGAACGCACAUCUUCGUUGUCGUGUCGUCCUCGUCUAAUUGAUGUCGAUUUUCAUUUUUGAACCCCCCCUAGAAGAGAGUCAAAAAGACGAAUGAUUUUAAGCGACUCCUCCCCAAGUUCACAACCAAACUUUGUAUGCGAGUCUUCAAACAAUCAAAGAGAAGAAAACCCCCUUCGAAAUGUUUUCUGAAAUGGAACCACUUGACCCGCGUCAGACUCUCUGCUGAAACUCCUUCCAACAAGUUGCAUACUAAAGCACUCAUGUCGAUCCUCAAGAACACGUACUUGUCCAGCACAUCUCCACCCGAAACUUGGACAAUGUUAGAGCGGGCAGCACAAACCAACAAACUGUUCGUAGUUUCCUCAUCUUCACGGUGGGAAGGACAACGUAGACAGUCGACGACACGGGCCAACACGGAUAUGGCAGCGCUCACCGCUGUCGACCGAUCCAUCACUUCAAUCGCACUGUAUUUCCAGCAGCUAUGGAAAACUAGUCGAACAUUGAAAUGCAAUAUAAACACACAGUGGUGAUGAAAUGGAGAGAAGAAAAUGCUGAAAAUGGAAAUUCAUCUGUUUUCAGUCACCUCCCUCUUUUUUUCCCCCUUUUUUAAGUUCAUAUUCCAUCCUCUUUUUUUUUAUGGUAUAAAAUAUAGCAAAUAUCAGCUGUU